rnacentral:rRNA from 2 species
UUGGAUCCAGACUUUGAUCAUGGCUCAGGACGAACGCUGGCGGCGUGCUUAACACAUGCAAGUCGAACGGGGUGUUUAUUUCGGUAAACACCAAGUGGCGAACGGGUGAGUAACGCGUAAGCAAUCUACCUUCAAGAUGGGGACAACACUUCGAAAGGGGUGCUAAUACCGAAUGAAUGUAAGAGUAUCGCAUGAGACACUUACUAAAGGAGGCCUCUGACAUAGGCUUCCGCUUGAAGAUGAGCUUGCGUCUGAUUAGCUAGUUGGUGAGGGUAAAGGCCCACCAAGGCGACGAUCAGUAGCCGGUCUGAGAGGAUGAACGGCCACAUUGGGACUGAGACACGGCCCAGACUCCUACGGGAGGCAGCAGUGGGGAAUCUUCCGCAAUGGGCGAAAGCCUGACGGAGCAACGCCGCGUGAACGAUGAAGGUCUUAGGAUCGUAAAGUUCUGUUGUUAGGGACGAAGGAUAAGGAUUAUAAUACAGUCUUUGUUUGACGGUACCUAACGAGGAAGCCACGGCUAACUACGUGCCAGCAGCCGCGGUAAUACGUAGGCGGCAAGCGUUGUCCGGAAUUAUUGGGCGUAAAGGGAGCGCAGGCGGGAAACUAAGCGGAUCUUAAAAGUGCGGGGCUCAACCCCGUGAUGGGGUCCGAACUGGUUUUCUUGAGUGCAGGAGAGGAAAGCGGAAUUCCCAGUGUAGCGGUGAAAUGCGUAGAUAUUGGGAAGAACACCAGUGGCGAAGGCGGCUUUCUGGAUUGUAACUGACGCUGAGGCUCGAAAGCUAGGGUAGCGAACGGGAUUAGAUACCCCGGUAGUCCUAGCCGUAAACGAUGGAUACUAGGUGUGGGAGGUAUCGACUCCUUCCGUGCCGGAGUUAACGCAAUAAGUAUCCCGCCUGGGGAGUACGGCCGCAAGGUUGCAACUCAAAGGAAUUGACGGA